rnacentral:tRNA from 2 species
GGAGCGAUGUCCGAGUGGUCGAAGGAGCCAGACUCGAAAUCUGGUGUGGGGCUCGUCCUCACCUAGGGUUCGAAUCCCUAUCACUCCG